CCUACGGGAGGCAGCAGUGAGGAAUAUUGGUCAAUGGGCGUGAGCCUGAACCAGCCAAGUAGCGUGAGGGAUGACUGUCCUAUGGGUCGUAAACCUCUUUUAUAAGGGAAUAAAGUGCGGCACGUGUGCCGUUUUGUAUGUACCUUAUGAAUAAGGAUCGGCUAACUCCGUGCCAGCAGCCGCGGUAAUACGGAGGAUCCGAGCGUUAUCCGGAUUUAUUGGGUUUAAAGGGUGCGUAGUAGGGCUGUUAAGUCAGUUGUGAAAGUUUGUGGCUCAACCGUAGAAUUGCCAUUGAUACUGGCAGCCUUGAGUACGUUUGAGGCAGGCGGAAUGCGUGGUGUAGCGGUGAAAUGCUUAGAUAUCACGAAGAACUCCGAUUGCGAAGGCAGCCUACCAAGC
rnacentral:rRNA from 1 species